rnacentral:rRNA from 1 species
UACAGAGGUCCCAAGCGUUGUUCGGAUUCACUGGGCGUAAAGGGUGCGUAGGCGGUCGGGUAAGGCUGAUGUGAAAUCUCACAGCUUAACUGUGAAACUGCAUUGGAUACUAUCCGGCUCGAGGAAUGGAGGGGAGACUGGAAUACUUGGUGUAGCAGUGAAAUGCGUAGAGAUCCGGAGGAACACCAGUGGCGAAGGCGACACGCUGGGCCGUACCUGACACUGAGGCGCGAUAGCAUGGGGAGCAAACAGG